UACGUAGGGGGCGAGCGUUGUUCGGAAUUACUGGGCGUAAAGGGCGCGUAGGCGGCCUUCUAAGUCAGACGUGAAAUCCCCCGGCUUAACCUGGGAACUGCGUCUGAUACUGGAGGGCUUGAGUGCGGGAGAGGGAUGCGGAAUUCCAGGUGUAGCGGUGAAAUGCGUAGAUAUCUGGAGGAACACCGGUGGCGAAGGCGGCAUCCUGGACCGACACUGACGCUGAGGCGCGAAAGCUAGGGUAGCAAACGGG
rnacentral:rRNA from 1 species